rnacentral:rRNA from 1 species
ACGGAAGGCAGCAGUGGGGAAUAUUGCACAAUGGGGGAAACCCUGAUGCAGCGACGCCGCGUGAGUGAAGAAGUAUUUCGGUAUGUAAAGCUCUAUCAGCAGGAAAGAAAAUGACGGUACCUGACUAAGAAGCCCCGGCUAACUACGUGCCAGCAGCCGCGGUAAUACGUAGGGGGCAAGCGUUAUCCGGAUUUACUGGGUGUAAAGGGAGCGUAGACGGCUUUGCAAGUCUGAAGUGAAAGCCCGGGGCUCAACCCCGGAACUGCUUUGGAAACUGUAGAGCUAGAGUGCAGGAGAGGUAAGUGGAAUUCCUAGUGUAGCGGUGAAAUGCGUAGAUAUUAGGAGGAACACCAGUGGCGAAGGCGGCUUACUGGACUGUAACUGACGUUGAGGCUCGAAGGCGUGGGGAGCAAAUAGGAUUAGAUACCCUGGUA